CUGGCAUGUAAAGGGCUUAUGGAAAGAUCUGCACCAGGAACUGAAACUCCACGAAAACUCUGGUAAAAUGGUUAUUCGUCUGCGGAGGAUCACGCCUGGGUAUAUAAGAUUAUUGCAGACUCAAGCUGCUGGAAAAAUUGUUAUCAACACAACAGACAUAUUGAUGCAACGUACAGCUUUGCUCCUAGGAAUGUUUGGGAUCAGUAUAUCUGGUUAUAGCACACGCCGGCUAACUCAAGAGAAGAGACUCCCCUUGAACCUUUAAACUGAUGGAAUAUGAUCCGAGAAAUGAAAGUUUAUGUCAACAGAACUGAUGAAUUAUUUGUCUCUCCAUUAUCAGCUUGGAGGUCAUAAGACACUUUUUAAAAGCAAGCUGGAAAAGAUGGAAGAAGAGUUGUAGAUCUCGCCGGCAAAAAAAUAAAAUAAAAUAAAAAAAGACUAAUGAUUUGGGGAAGCAUUAGAUUUGCAAGCAAGAUGGAGUGUUUGUACAUGUGAUGGAUUUCUGUCAGUAUACAGUAUGAACACUGAGAGAAAUGUAAAUGUAUGAAGUACAAUUAAAAUCAGAACAAGUGCAAACAGAUUGAUGGGGGGGUGCUAUGCACAAUUAGGGUCACCUUUUUUAUUGCUUCUGCAAAUCAUCUACAAUACAAAGCCUUGUUUUGAAAAAGAGGGUUGGAAGCAAUAUAUUUUUAAUGACAAGCAAAUAGCAAAACACAUCCCAUAGACUGCUGGCACUGUUUAUAUAUAUAUAUAUAUAUAUAUAUAGCUAUGUGUAUUACAGAAUUUGCAGGAACUUCCAUCUAAUAUUGCAUGUUACAUCUACAAUCCUUUGGCUACCUUUGUCUGGAAAUGUUUAUACAAAAAUAUAUUCAGAUAUUCCAGUGUAAUAACAAAAAAAUGCUGCAGAUUAUAUACCGUGCAUAUGGUAUGAAAAAGGAAGGAUAAUGCCAAAGCAAAUAUAUGAAUGUCUUUAUUGGUGUUUUAUGUCUUGAUAUGAUUAUUUUAAGUCUGGUUUGCUUCUGUGCAUGUGGCUGUGUAGCUUUUUAAAUUUUCUAUUCUAGAAGGGAACAGUACAAAUAAAGAAUUGUCUCUUGUGCAGAGUUCAACCUGUCUGAUCACAUUCCUCUGCUUAGCCUCUUGAUCCCACAACACAUAUUCUGAUUAAAAUAGAACUGGAGUUUGUGCUUUUCCCCUCCCCCUCUUACGUUUCUGUGCAAUUUUAUUUAAUGAGCAUUUUACUCAGGCAAGCUCUAUAACUAUUAUUCAUUUUGUUUUAACUGUUUCAGAGAUUUUGUGCAAACAGCUUUGUAGGCACUUUUAUGUGUCGGAGAAAAACACAGUUCUCACUCUCUGGUUGGGUGCAGCAAGUCAGAUAUGUCUUCUUGGUCUGAUUCUGCUGUCAAUUACAUUAGUGUAAAUCAGGAAUGACUCCACUGAACAUUUUGGAAUUACCCUGGUGAAAACCUGAGGCAAGUAAGAUUUGGAUCAAGCCUUCUCUGGUCUCUCAAGCUGUGUCCUUUACU